UACGAAGGGGACGAGCGUUGUUCGGAAUUACUGGGCGUAAAGCGCGCGUAGGCGGAUCGCUAAGUCAGGGGUGAAAUCCCAGGGCUCAACCCUGGAACUGCCUUUGAUACUGACGAUCUGGAGAUCGGGAGAGGUUGGUGGAAUUCCGAGUGUAGAGGUGAAAUUCGUAGAUAUUCGGAGGAACACCAGAAGCGAAGGCGGCCAACUGGCCCGAUACUGACGCUGAGGCGCGAAAGCGUGGGGAGCAAACAGG
rnacentral:rRNA from 1 species